rnacentral:rRNA from 1 species
UACGUAGGGGGCAAGCGUUGUCCGGAUUCAUUGGGCGUAAAGAGCUCGUAGGCGGUUCGAUAAGUCGGGUGUGAAAACUUUGGGCUCAACCCAAAGCGUGCAUUCGAUACUGUUGUGACUAGAGUUCGGUAGGGGAGUGGGGAAUUCCUAGUGUAGCGGUGAAAUGCGCAGAUAUUAGGAGGAACACCGGUGGCGAAGGCGCCACUCUGGGCCGAAACUGACGCUGAGGAGCGAAAGCGUGGGUAGCAAACAGG